UCUUUCUUUCUUUCUUUCUUUCUUUCUUUCUUUCUUUCUUUCUUCCUGCCAGAAGAUUGGAAACAAUGUUCAUUUCUGAUCAGUUCAGUAAUACAAUGUCCUUCAAUGUCCACUUGAGCAUUUCAGUGGCGAAGAAAAGAAACUUUGCUACCUGGGAACUGAAGACUGCUUAGGUCAGUGAAUGCUAAUAAAGUCCUUAAGGACUCAUGGAACCAGGAGUUAACUUUUCUCAACUGUGAAGGCAAAGAUGGGCUGUCUGGAAAGCUGGACUCAGCCUGGAGCCUGCUACCCAGAUUGCGAUUUUGUGAAGACUUCCGCAUACAAAUGACUCAGAUGCAAACAUUCAGAAAUGAUCUUGGAGGGCCAUCUGGUCCUUGCUGGUUCUAAAAGCUUCAUUCAGCCUGGUGGAUGGAGCCCGUGCAAAAGAGAGUGAGGGCCCCGCACUGAGGUUUAAAUACGUUCCCCUGACCGAGGCGAGAAGCUGACUUUCGAAAUAGCAGAGGCUCGAGGGCCGGCUGAUGUCGCCUCCCUCUUAUAGAUGCUGGCGUUCCGCAUUCAGUCAUUCCCGUCUUUCCACGACUGUGGUGCUCCAGGAGAUCUGCCCUACAAGAUCUGGAAUACCGUCAGAUGAAAUAAACUGUUCCAUUUGCUACGUGAAAUAAAGAGGGCAAGUUAAAUUCGAGGAUGUCUCACAGUGAUGGACACCGUCUGACGAGACUGGAUGUGUUUCUGCAGCUUCUUGCCUUGCCAGCUGGAUCUCCUUGCUUCUUCCAGGAGAGAAAAGGUUGAAAGAGCCAACGGGAACUGAGAAGCAUUAUAAGCUAAGGAGGAAAAGUAACAAAGAGCUUGAAGACUUUCAUGGCUCCCAGGCCCUGGACAGAGGCCGGCGGUCUCAGACAGACAGAACCAAGGAGGGGCCUGUGACGGCACAGCCCAGACUUGCCUUGGAAAAGAUUGAGAAGAGCCAGUAGACUUGGCUUCCUUACCUCUGCUCAUCCCCAUCAGCAGAGAGAAAUAAUGACUCCCGAAACAGUUCACAAUCAAAAGUUAAAACGAUGUUUCAGUGAUGCUACAUCAUGCCAGACGCAGGGCUAAUGGUUGGAAGAUACUGGCCUAAUAAGGUGGCAGCGAACUUUAAAAAAUAGGAUUUCUAAGGAGUUACUUUUUUCAGGUAAUAGCGUUUUCCUAGAACUUUCCCAAACCUUCCAUUUCCUCAAGUACUGCCCAUUUUUAGGGCAUGCCCGAAUGAUUUAAUUAUGAAGCAUAAUUGCAUUUUAAACUCGAUUUUUAAAACUAGCAACUGGUUUUAUAAUACUCAUGGCGAAUGAGUAGAGCGGACAUGGCAUUCAACUGUAUGGAAUUCAGCGGAAAAAACGUAAAGUUAUUACUUAACAGUGCUUACUUUCUUUUGACAAUGAUUUAGGCAGAACUCAUUUGAAACCAUCAGGCACUGUCCUUAAACUCCAUGGCUAUCUUGGGUAAUUGAAUAUAAAAAUGUAAAUAUUAGAAGAUUGUCUCUAAAAAGCCUACCGUGUGCUCUGAAUUCCUGGAAGAUAGAGCUUCUGUAAAUUGCAUCAUAACAAUAUUGACAUUUUAACUUCAGUCCUAGAUUGGUAACACUGUAUGGCGUAUAAUGGAACUCUCCCUGUACAUGUCUAGGGGCUAAGAUUUGAGCUCAGCUCUCAUGAUAUAGGUAGUUUCCUUAUAGUGUUAUCGCAGGACUUUGUGCCACUUAAAAAGGUUUAAUAACAUAAAUGAUAUAUCGCUUGAUAAAUUACCUUACCCUGAUUUGCCAUUGUUCAUAAGCAUCAGCCUACAUUUUCCAACUUAAUUACGAGUAUUAAUAUGUAAGAGAGCCCCACAAAACCUUGCUUAAUAAAGCAAGCCAAAAUUUCUUCUGAAAAGAACAUUUCUUUUCCUCCUUAGCACAGAGAAGCUUCUUGAAGGAGGUAUUCAAUUCAUAUUUUGGAGAAGCUUUCUACCUCCAAACAAACCACACUGCUAGGAGGUCAGUAUUUGACUUAAUUCUUUUCCCCCUGCAAUCUAGGCAUCUUCUGAUUUGUUUUUUGUUUUUGUUUUUUCUGAAAUUAAAACUGUGGAUUGUUUGGAAGCUAACAAUACAAACCAUUUGGAAGGAAUAGCUUCUCUCUGUCCUAUAUUUACCAAAGAGAGAGAGAGAGAGAGAGAGAGAGAGAGAGAGAGAGAGAGAUGCCCCCAAUGAAAACAUAGCAUUGUGCUCCUUUCUGUGGGCUUUGAAGGUACACAUUUAUGAAGACGGCUCUAAUUGAAUGACUAAGUAUAACACUUUGACAGAUCGUCUUUCAUUCAUUGCUAACAAGUACUGCAUUACAUCUUUGUAAUGAACAUGAAAAUGACAGUUAGCCCUCAUCACUCGGGAAGCCUGGGCCGAUUCCUUCCUAUCUGAGUGAGAGCUCCUAUGUCACCCGUGUUCCAGUAAUCCUGAACAGUAUGCAGGGCACCCAUCCUCAAAUGCCUCUGGUCAUUUGUGCCUUUGUCAGAGAGAGAUCAAAGGAAGAGCAGAGGCUUAGAGUUUAUUUUAAAAUCUUUCAUUUUAGAAAGGAAAGGAGCAUAUUAAGGUAAUAAAGCAAAGACCCCUCGGAGGUGAGUGGUUUGGAUCCUAAUUCUUUCCACUAGCUACUCUGUUGUUUCUUUGGAUCUCAAAGUCAAGCCAUGGAACUGCAACUAAAUUCUCAGUCUGGGUAACCUUCACGGCACCAGUGGGCUGCAAGUGGUCAUACCCACGGUUCAGUCCUGAUGAAACAGACAGACAAUGAGAUAUCUGUGAAUGGUCGCAUCUCAGUCCCUAUUGGUUCUGCCAUUGGUUUUAUGUGCUCUUGUUUUCAUAUUGCAGGUCAUGUACAUAAGGGCCUGCUCUUUUCUCUAAAUAGUCCCCAAAUCCAACUCUGUCUUUUCCCAGAUUCUUGAGAAAGGCCGGAAUGCUCAUAUGUCGAGGCAAAGGAGAGAGUUUUUUUUUAUGAGAUCCAGGAUCUAUAGACACUGCUAACAAAAAUUAAAAAGGCCUCUUUUUAGGUCAUGCCAAGGAUGGUGGCGUGUGUUUUUCCCAGUUAUCUAGGGAGGGGGAUUAUUUUACUUUCCAUCAUGUGUCCUAGAAGUGCUUAUGAUUAAGACCGUGUCUUCCGUAAAAUUCAUAAAAGAAGCCAUUAAUGAAGCUUCGUUGCCUUGGAUUCCCAUUCUUACAUGUGGAACAUUGCUUUGGGAGAAGGAAUGUUAUAUUGACAAAUGAAAUCAUUUAUAUUUAUAAGAAGGCCUCAGAAACAGGUCCGUUGUCACAUCCUUGAAAAGUUUUGCGGGGGUCAGGGGGGGACAAUUACGCUAUUUCUUUUCCACUUCAAAUUUUAUAAAAUAAGCCCAAACUUGCUCUGUGUUCAUGUUUGUACCAAUAGUGGGGGGUGGGGUGGAAACAAAACCAUAAACUUUUCCUAAAGAUGAGUCUUUCAGUUUAACGUAGCUAGAAAUCUCUUCCAGAAGACUUUUCAGAAAAUACUUAUAAGCCUGUUCGUGGUGCUUGCCAGUUUAUUCUACCUGUUUUCCAGAAUGCAAAUAGAAAAGAAAAAAACUCAUCAUCCUUGUUCAUGUGAUUACAGGCAUUUAAGAGGAAGAACUUCCAUUGGGGAUUUCAUGUGUUUCUCUCUCUCUCUCCCUCUCUCUCCUGCUUAUAAUUUGGUACCACUUUGCCCAGAUUUCGUGUUAAGAUCUGAAUAAAUGAGUCUUCCAAAAUAUUAAACAGUAACCUGAUGAAAUUUACCUAAAGCCUAGCGUAUCUGUGGAAUAAGUAAAAACAGAAGGACCUGCGUGAGGGACAACACUGAGGAUGCUGCUUAGCCUUCGCAGCAAAGUUUCUUUCUUUCUUUCUUUCUUUCUUUCUUUCUUUCUUUCUUUCUUUC